rnacentral:rRNA from 1 species
CAGUCGCCACGGUAAUACGAACCGUGCGAACGUUAUUCGGAAUUACUGGGCUUAAAGCGCGUGUAGGCGGGCCGCCACGUCGGUUGCUGAAAUCCCCCGGCUCAACCGGGGAAGUGGCAUCGAUACGAGCGGCCUUGAGGGGGGUAGGGGGAUCUGGAACUUCCGGUGGAGCGGUGGAAUGCGUUGAGAUCGGAAGGAACGCCCGUGGCGAAAGCGAGGUCCUGGACCCUUUCUGACGCUGAGACGCGAAAGCCAGGGGAGCGAACGGGAUUAGAUACCCCAGUAGUCCCUGUCUCUUAUA